rnacentral:rRNA from 1 species
UACAGGGGGGUGCAAACGUUUGCUCGGAAUUAUUGGGCGUAAAGCGCGCGUAGGCGGCUACUUAAGUCGGAUGUGAAAGCCCUUGGCUCAACUGAGGAAGUGCACCCGAAACUGAGUGGCUUGAGUACGAAAGAGGGUCGCGGAAUUCCCGGUGUAGAGGUGAAAUUCGUAGAUAUCGGGAGGAACACCGGUGGCGAAGGCGGCGACCUGGGUCGAUACUGACGCUGAUGCGCGAAAGCGUGGGGAGCAAACAGG